UACAGAGGGUGCAAGCGUUGUUCGGAAUUACUGGGCGUAAAGCGCGUGUAGGCUGCAAUGUAAGUCGGAUGUGAAAGCCCUUGGCUCAACUAAGGAAGUGCAUCCGAUACUGCGUCGCUUGAGUGUCGGAGGGGUCGGCGGAAUUCCCGGUGUAGAGGUGAAAUUCGUAGAUAUCGGGAGGAACACCUGUGGCGAAGGCAAUCCCCUGGGCCUGCACUGACGCUCAUGCACGAAAGCGUGGGGAGCAAACAGG
rnacentral:rRNA from 1 species